UCCUGCAUCGAAAGUGACUGUGGUUCUGACAGUGGCCCAGUCAUUGAUACUGCAGGUAGAGCAUCCUGUGAAGGCUUUUCCCGUGUUCGGAGAACUUUGCUGUGGCUGCUGAACCCUGUGACUUUCACACA